rnacentral:tRNA from 1 species
UGGCUCAGAAGUUGAGAGCACUGGCUGCUCUUCCAGAGGACCUGGGUUCAAUUCCCAG